rnacentral:rRNA from 1 species
UACGAAGGGGGCUAGCGUUGUUCGGAAUCACUGGGCGUAAAGGGCGCGUAGGCGGCUUUGUAAGUCGGGGGUGAAAGCCUGUGGCUCAACCACAGAAUUGCCUUCGAUACUGCGUGGCUUGAGACCGGAAGAGGUUAGUGGAACUGCGAGUGUAGAGGUGAAAUUCGUAGAUAUUCGCAAGAACACCAGUGGCGAAGGCGGCUGACUGGUCCGGAUCUGACGCUGAGGCGCGAAAGCGUGGGGAGCAAACAGG